AAGUCGUAACAAGGUUUCCGUAGGUGAACCUGCGGAAGGAUCAUUACUAAAAAUCCAAAUAUGGAGAAAAAAAAAAUCCAUAUAAACCCCUAUGUGCAUUUAUUUGACGGACUUCCCCCCCGAAUUAAUAUAUUUUUUACGGUGGGGGAAUUUUUAAAUAUAAACCACUUAUUGAUCAUUAUUUUGUCUGAAGUCAUUUUUUAUUUAUUAUGUUUAUUAAUAAAUGAAUAUCUCAAAAGAGAAAUAAAAAUAAAAUAACUUUUAACAACGGAUCUCUUGGCUCUC
rnacentral:misc_RNA from 1 species